GGAAGGCGAAGCCGGCGCCCAGGCCGCCCGAGAGCAGCAGCGGGAGCAGCAGGAAGGGCCACGGGUGGGCGCCGAUCAGUUCCCCGAGCCGCCUGAAACUGCGGCCGAGAAACAGGGCGAAGUUGUCAGGCGCCGGGGUGGCGGGGCCGGGGUCUGGUUCCCAAGCUGAGCUCCCGGCCGUGGCCCCCUCCUGCUCUGGCCCCAUCUCCCUGCUCUGCCCGGCGAACGAGCGUUGCCCGCUGUGGAACCGGACAUUAAAUAACGUGCUCUAAUACAUCCUAGCCGCUUUGACAUGCAAGUUACGGUUCCAAGGCAAGACGUGAGAGCUUGGUGUCAUGACGUACACAGAUACAUGGAAACACAGUCCAGAACCCCAGUCUACAAUUGAACAGAAAAUAAGAACACUUCUAAGUGUAAGAUUUGUUGCCUGCGAUUAUUUAUCCCAUUUAAGAGAUGGGCUGAACAAAGAUAAUGAAUUACUGAUUAUACUGGUUUGUUUGCAAUACACAGUAUAGUGUUUGACCUUGUGGAUGGAAAUAUUCUUAAAGCUGUAGCCAAGUCCAAUUUGAAUAAAAUUCAGUCUUUUCAGAUUUAAUCCAUUUGAGGAGUUAACUUUGCGUUUAGUCGGUUUAAGCAGUAUUGUAUAAACAGGGCGGGUUUUGAUAUCCAAGUAUACUUGAUGCAUUCCAUGUUAAUACAUACCUCUGUUUUUAGAGUGGUACUAUGCUUUAACUGUAUUUCUUCCAAUUAAUUAAUGGGGAAUGUCUCCUAAAUACCUUCUAGUUAUCUUUAUUAGAAUAGAUUGUGAUUUUGUGUUAUUUUCUCACUAUUUUAUAACUUUCACUCAGUAAUUUAAUAGAAUUCUUUUUCAGUCUGAGACUUCCAGACCAGAGUUCUAGUUUAGAGUAUCUACUACCAUUUUUUAAAACUUUUACUUGUUGAUGAUCAUUUAGAGGAAGGGUUUGGUGGUUAAAUUAUGAAUAAAAAUGACUAUUCUAACUUUUAAUAGCACUGAUAUAUUUGAGAUUCAGAUAUAUGAUGUUAAAUUUAAAAUAGUAUUUGGGGAUUUACAGAAUACAUAUUAUGUAGGGAUGUCAAUGUGAAGUCAACUAUAUGACUAACCA